rnacentral:misc_RNA from 1 species
UGGUCGAAAUUGGAUUUCAUUCGUAAUUUGACCGAGAAAGGUUUGUGUUUUAACGGAGAGUUAUAUCCGUUGUUGUAGUGAUAUUUAUUUUUUUAUAAAAUAAUAAAUAGUAGCAGAUAAAGUAACUUUUAUUAGUUCCUUAAGUCUGCAACUGUAAGAAAUAAAAUAUUAUCGUUUUCAGUACUUUGUACAUACACAAAUUUAUCGAUUUGUGAAAACAGACAUCGGAUUAAGAGACGAAUAGUACGCUACUGUUGCUAGUCAACAUGGCGGACGACGAGCAAUUCUCGCUGUGUUGGAAUAAUUUCAACAGCAAUUUAUCUGCUGGUUUUCAUGAGUCGCUAUGUCGUGGAGAUUUGGUUGACGUGACAUUGGCAGCGGAAGGGCAAUUCGUUAAAGCACAUCGUUUAGUUCUUUCGGUUUGUUCGCCCUAUUUUCGGAAAAUGUUCACACAAAUGCCGGCCAACCAACAUGCUUUCGUUUUUCUGAAGGAUGUAAGUCACACAGCACUGAAAGAUCUUAUACAAUUCAUGUAUUGUGGAGAAGUGAACGUUAAGCAAGAAGCUUUACCAGCGUUUAUUAGCACAGCAGAGGCUUUACAAAUAAAGGGGUUAACAGAUAGCGAUCCUCCACCAUCACAAUCGCCUGCUGAACCGUCUACACCUACGCCUCAAAUUCAACAAAUUUCCUCUCCGCGAGUACGCCAAAGAACGUCAACGUCACGUUCAUUUAAAAUAGAAUCUGUUGAAGACUCGGGAGAUGACAAACCGACCCAAAUUGUCAUACAAACUACUUCUGCUCCCCCAGCGCAAGUAGUUGCUCAAUCCCAAACUCAACAUCUGCAACAAACUCAAAAUCAAACACAUAUAGCACCUCAACAAAUUGUAAACACCACCACCACCGCUACUACCACCGUUGUCACGCAUAAAAGACCAGCGCGCAGUAUUGGAAGUGGGCCUCAUAUUAAACGCACCAAAAGUACAAUUGACCCCCUUGACACAACUGAUGUGUCGACUGGUACCCAGCAAAUAACUGUACAAACAGCUGUUGUGACGCCUGCCUCUGAUACAAAAACACAAGUACAGCAACAACAAAGCGAACCUGAAUAUAUAGACUUGCCAAUAGAAUUACCUACAAAGUCAGAGCCAGAUUACGCAGAAGAUGCUGGUGACGUGGAAGGAGGCGAAAAUGAGACAACUUAUGUUGAAGAUGAUUCUUAUGGAGAACUUCGUUAUGAUGAAAGCUACUUCACGGAAAAUGACGAUGCACCAACCGGUGCGACAACGGUACAAAGUGGAACUGGUUCAAGCGGUGGUGUGAAUGCAACUACAUCAAAAGCAUUGGUAAAACAACAGCAAUCAUCCUUUACCGACACAUCGUACGUGGACGUUGCGGACCAAGCGAAUAGCGACGCACAAGAAAUCGCUACUUUCAGCACCGGUCAGCGAGGUUGCACUGUACUCAUUUAUGGCAAUCAGAAAUUCGUGAAAAAUCGGAAGUCGAGUACGCGUACAUAUUGGAUAUGCUCGAAAAAGGAUGUUACUUGGUGUCGCGCGAGAGUUGUAACAGCCCGUGAUAAGGAAGGCAAUGAACGAAUACUUCAUCGUACAUUUGAGCAUAAUCAUGCGCGAAAAUUUCCACGCAAUCAGGCUGGUCCCUUUCUAAAAGAGCUAAGAUCCUUGCACAGUUAAAAUUGAAUCAUACAUACAAUAUACCCAGCUGUUUGGUCGACUUUGACUGCCGAUUACAAAUGUAUAUACCUAGUUUAUUGAAUAAAAUUCAAUGCGUACUUUUCAAUAUAGUAUAACAAAUUGUAAAUUUGAUAUGCCAUGCAGCGAUGAGAGCUUCUUGCCAAUACUCAACAAUUUAAAUGAUUC